rnacentral:rRNA from 1 species
AAAAAAUCCGGGCCUCAUAAACUCUGAGACGUGAUACCGAGCCGCUUCAGGCGAAGUCAUAUCCUAUGCUGCCUAGAAAAGCCCAGCAGCGAGUUGACAUGGUGCCCGUACCCCAAACCAACACAGGUGGACAGGUAGAGCAUACCAAGGCGAGUGGGAUAACUAUGGUUAAGGAACUCGGCAAAUUGCCUCCGUAACUUCGGGUGAAGGAGGACCCCAGUAGCGUGAUGAGACUUGCUCUCUGAGCGUGAAGGGGUGGCACAAAAUUGAGGGAAGCGACUGUUACCAAAAGCACAGCAGCGUGCUAAGCCGUAAGGCGCUGUAUACGCUGUGACUCCUGCCCGGUGCUGGAAGGUUACGGGGAUGGGUUAGUCCUUCGGGACGAAGCUCUGAACCUAAGCCCCAGUAAACGGCGGCCGUAACUAUAACGGUCCUAAGGUAGCGAAAUUCCUUGUCGGGUAAGUUCCGACCUGCACGAAUGGAGUAACGACUUCCCUACUGUCUCAACCAUAGACCCAGCGAAAUUGAAGUACGAGUAAAGAUGCUCGUUAGCUGCAGAAGGACGGAAAGACCCCGUGGACCUUUACUAUAACUUGAUGUUGUGUUUUGUCAUAUGUUGUGUAGGAUAGGUGGGAGACUUGGAAGCAUGGACGCUAGUCUGUGUGGAGUCAUCGUUGAAAUACCACCCUGCAUAUGGUGAGGCUCUAACCUAGACCCGUUAUCCGGGUUGGGGACAGCGUCAGGCGGGUAGUUUAACUGGGGCGGUUGCCUCCUAAAGAGUAACGGAGGCGCCCAAAGGUUCCCUCAGCCUGGUUGGCAAUCAGGCGUUGAGUGCAAUGGCAAAAGGGAGCUUGACUGCGAGACCUACAAGUCGAGCAGGAGCGAAAGCUGGGCAUAGUGAUCCGGCGGUUGCGUGUGGAAGCGCCGUCGCUCAACGGAUAAAAGGUACCCCGGGGAUAACAGGCUAAUCUUGCCCAAGCGUCCAUAGCGACGGCAAGGUUUGGCACCUCGAUGUCGGCUCAUCGCAUCCUGGGGCUGAAGCAGGUCCCAAGGGUUGGGCUGUUCGCCCAUUAAAGCGGUACGCGAGCUGGGUUCAGAACGUCGUGAGACAGUUCGGUCCCUAUCCUCUGCAGCCGGAGGUGAAUUGAGGAAAGCUGUCCCUAGUACGAGAGGACCGGGACGGACGCAGCUCUCGUGUGCCAGUUGUCCUGCCAAGGGCAUGGCUGGUUAGCGACCUGCGGAAAGGAUAACCGCUGAAAGCAUCUAAGCGGGAAGCCUCUUCCAAGAUGAAUUCACCCACAGGGUUAACCUGGUAAGGCCCGUGGUAGACCACCACGUUGAUAGGCCGGAAGUGUAAGCGUGGCAACACGUUCAGCUGACCGGUACUAAUCGGCCGAGGGCUUGAGU